rnacentral:rRNA from 1 species
UGGGGAAUUUUGGACAAUGGGCGAAAGCCUGAUCCAGCAAUGCCGCGUGUGUGAAGAAGGCCUUCGGGUUGUAAAGCACUUUUGUCCGGAAAGAAAUCCUUGGCUCUAAUACAGUCGGGGGACGACGGUACCGGAAGAAUAAGCACCGGCUAACUACGUGCCAGCAGCCGCGGUAAUACGUAGGGUGCAAGCGUUAAUCGGAAUUACUGGGCGUAAAGCGUGCGCAGGCGGUUUGCUAAGACCGAUGUGAAAUCCCCGGGCUCAACCUGGGAACUGCAUUGGUGACUGGCAGGCUAGAGUAUGGCAGAGGGGGGUAGAAUUCCACGUGUAGCAGUGAAAUGCGUAGAGAUGUGGAGGAAUACCGAUGGCGAAGGCAGCCCCCUGGGCCAAUACUGACGCUCAUGCACGAAAGCGUGGGGGAGCAAACAGGAUUAGAUACCCUGGUAGUCCACGCCCUAAACGAUGUCAACUAGUUGUUGGGGAUUCAUUUCCUUAGUAACGUAGCUAACGCGUGAAGUUGACCGCCUGGGGAGUACGGUCGCAAGAUUAAAACUUAAAUGAAUUGACGGGGUCAUAGCUGUUUCCU